UAUCUCUUUCUUUGCAUAGGGAAGUUGACUAAACAAGAGGGCUCUUUGGAGCACUGAUAUGCAGCAAGUCAGCUUGGGUCUCUCCAGACAGAGAAAAGUAACAUAAAACAAAACUAUUCAAAAAGAACAUGAAGUGAAGUGCUGGUGGCCAGAAGAAAGACAUCUGAGUACAACCACCAUGGGUUACUGACAGACCAAAAUAUCCUGACAACUCCCGAAUGCCGGAAGGAGAGAAUGGGUUUAUACAUCUGAGGACCUUGACUAUUCUGCUCUUCUGGAACAUUAAGCUCUUCCCCCAUCAAGAGGUGGUGUCUGCGUCUGUUCUCCUUGAAUUUGUGUGGCUCUUCCUGACUGCUUCAACCAAGAGACUCCAGUAGGAAUGAUACUAUAUAAUUUCUGAGGCUAGAUCAUCAGAAUGCCAUGUACUUUAAUUUUAUUCUUUGAGGGUCGCUGGCUCCUGGAACCCAGCCACCAUACUGUGAUGAAGCCUACACAACUGUGGAGAGGCUCACAUGGAGAGGAAUCAGUGCCUACUGAUCUACAGCCCUGGCUGAGCUCUCAGCCAACAGUCACGAUCAACUUCCAGCCAUAUUGAACCAUCUUGAAAGAGGCUCCCCCAGCACCAAGUUAAGCAGUGUGAUUACGUUGCCAAAGAUCACCUCUUUCCUAUCAUCUUUCUUCUGAGACUUGUUUAGAGUAAACUUGGAAGCUGUGUUUUGCUCACUCUGAAGAUUGAAUAUAAGAAAAUUUGCUUAAGUUUGGAUGAUGCAGCUGCUGAAGUAAUCUGUGAUGCACUUUCCUUCAGGAAUCCUUAUCUAUUUGUUCAGGUGUUCCACAAGUCUUCUUAUCUUGGAAUCCAAGAAUACUCAUUGUGUGGUUGCUUAUUGUUUCCCAGACACCCUGAUGCUUUGAGGCUUUGUCUCAUGCUUUCAAGUAAUGUUCUCAUGUUCACCUGCUGAUAUUCCUUCAAGGGUGCAGGCUGUAUCUCUCCAAGUGUGGAAUCAAACAAUCAGAUAAGAUGUUGUGUAACAAUUCAUAUUAAAAACGUGAUCUUGUCAGUCAAGAAGAAGAGAUGAAAACAAACACCUUGAGAGUUCAUGAGUAGAAGUAUAUAGCCCUGCAUUUAUGAUAAUAUGGUGCAGUUUAUCCAUACACAGCAAUGUAACUGCUUAAAAUGCUCCUGAAAUUCAGGCAAAAUAAAUUAUAAAUAUUAUUAAGAUCAAAGAAGGUAAGAGUCCCUUAUGUUUGAUAUAGGCCAAGCCAAAGUUUGAUGUAUAUGCUCAUCUCUUAGCUCUGCAAGUCUAUGAAGAAACCAUCAGAAAGCAUGCUGAAAAUAGAAUGAGAUUCCAUUCAAAACAGAAAGCUCCUGUCUGUUUUAGAGAAGGUGACCAGAUCCUUUAUCAGAAAUUUGGUAUAUUUCAGAGGUACAAAUGUUCUUUUAGGUCUUUUGAAGCACUGGAUUUAAUAUCAGAGUUUAGUCUUGGCUCCAAUCUCCAAUUCUUUGCAUAGUCAUUCUAGCAAUCUUAGGGACCAAGUCUUCCAUUAGCAUAGUGAUCUUCAUGCCUCAAGUGUGAGGUAUAAAUAUUCUCCUCAUUGACAAGGAACCAGAGAUAAUAUUUCAUAGGCAAAAUACUCAGGUAUGCAAAAAUGUAAGUUUUCAGUUAAAGUUUUUUGUACUGAAAUUAUCUUAGCUCAUUAGCUCUCACUUCUGCCUGGUAGCAGGUAAUGUGAUUUUGCUAUUCCAAGUUGACCCAUUAUUUCUAUUUUCAAGUUUAGUUUAUUUUAGAUAAAUUUUUAAAUUCAUAAUGUUUUUUUGACCUUUUAUAUUCUCUUCCAAAAAAGGUUAUUCUAACUUCCUAAUGGGUUUACUUUGAUAGCAGUUGUUGUUAUGUGUAUAUAUGUAUAUAUAUUUUCAAAAAUCAACUUUAUUGGUUUAUAACUCACAAAAAAUAAAAUUCAUUCUUUUAAAGUGUAUAUUUUUUCAAUUUCUACACAAAUAGCCUGCCAGAAUUUUGAUUAGAAUGAUGUUGAAUGUAGAUCAAUUGUGAGAGAAUUGUCAUUAACAGUAUUGAGUCUUCCAAUCCAUGGACAUGAUGUAUCUCUCAAUUUACUUAGACUUUUAAUUUCUUUCAGCAUUGCAUUGAAAUUUUAGGUUUAGCGGUCUUGUACAUAUUUUAUUAAGUUUGUCCUAACAGUUUUAUAUUUUGAGAUGAUAGUAUAAAUGGUAUUGUAUUUUAAAUUUUAGUUUUCAAUUGUUUC